ACAUGCAGUCGAGCGGAUGAAGGGAGCUUGUCCUGGAUUCAGCGGCGGACGGGUGAGUAAUGCCUAGGAAUCUGCCUGGUAGUGGGGGAUAACGUCCGGAAACGGGCGCUAAUACCGCAUACGUCCUGAGGGAGAAAGUGGGGGAUCUUCGGACCUCACGCUAUCAGAUGAGCCUAGGUCGGAUUAGCUAGUUGGUGGGGUAAAGGCCUACCAAGGCGACGAUCCGUAACUGGUCUGAGAGGAUGAUCAGUCACACUGGAACUGAGACACGGUCCAGACUCCUACGGGAGGCAGCAGUGGGGAAUAUUGGACAAUGGGCGAAAGCCUGAUCCAGCCAUGCCGCGUGUGUGAAGAAGGUCUUCGGAUUGUAAAGCACUUUAAGUUGGGAGGAAGGGCAGUAAGUUAAUACCUUGCUGUUUUGACGUUACCAACAGAAUAAGCACCGGCUAACUUCGUGCCAGCA
rnacentral:rRNA from 1 species